AGAGGAAUAUUUAAAUCUGUGGAUGGGAAUUUUUCCCAUUAUUGGUUACACUGUAGUGCAAAAUAAUUCCUGGCUCUUACCAGCUGCAUAGCCAAUUUGUGCCAUAGUGCUGUUGCUUUAUGUAGUUGAAGAACAUGC
ensembl:snoRNA